rnacentral:rRNA from 1 species
GAUGAACGCUGGCGGCGUGCUUAACACAUGCAAGUCGAACGGAAAGGCCUCUGCUUGCAGGGGUACUCGAGUGGCGAACGGGUGAGUAACACGUGGGUGAUCUGCCCUGCACUUCGGGAUAAGCCUGGGAAACUGGGUCUAAUACCGGAUAGGACAAUGGUUUGGAUGCUGUUGUGGAAAGUUUUUCGGUGUGGGAUGAGCUCGCGGCCUAUCAGCUUGUUGGUGGGGUAAUGGCCUACCAAGGCGUCGACGGGUAGCCGGCCUGAGAGGGUGUACGGCCACAUUAGGACUGAGAUACGGCCCAGAGUCGUACGGGAGGCAGCAGUGGGGAAUAUUGCACAAUGGGCGCAAGCCUGAUGCAGCGACGCCGCGUGGGGGAUGACGGCCUUCGGGUUGUAAACUCCUUUCGCUAGGGACGAAGCGUUUUUGUGACGGUACCUGGAGAAGAAGCACCGGCUAACUACGUG